ACUUCUUCGCUCUAUUUCAAAUAUGGGAUCUACUAGAGUAUUUGAAGUUGAAAUAGCAACAACAAAAAGAAAAAAAAAGUGUCCUUAGAAAUAGAUAUAUUUUCUCGAUUACAAAAUGUUGUGGUAGUCUCAUGUCAAGUAUCGAUUAAUAUAGACACUACUAUGACUUCAUAGAGUGAGGGUAUAUUAGAGAAAGUCAUCUAUUCUUUCUUGGUUAUAGUUAGAAAGUGUGUUAUUUUUGUUAUUAAAUUGUUCGAAGUAAAACAAAUUGUUUGGUCUAGAGAGAGAACAAAUUCAAUAAUAUUUUGCAAUUAUUCAAUGGGUAGAAAUAUGUGGGCUAUUUGGGUACGAUAUUAUGGAUAGGUAUGAUGUGUUCUAGUGAGAUAUCUAACGGACUUUCACGUUGUGGCAGUUCUAGGGUUAUGUGGAAACAUGUACGUCGAUUGUCAAGUAUGAAUACUAAUUACUAAAAGAGUUACCAGUUGUGUGACAUGGUCAGAUAAUAAGAUUUAGUGUUGCAUUCACAUUUGAGAAACUAACUAGUUUAUUACUACAGGAACUUAGAUUGAGCAUUAUUUUAAAGGAAAAUUUUAGUGGUGGAUCUUUGGGUUGUGAAAUGUAUCUUGAGGGUUUCGAAUGAGCACUGACGAUUUUAUCUUAAGCUUCAAAAGGUAGAUUGAUAAUAAAAUGACAAAUUUAUAGGGAAAGAAAGUCCUAGUGGAUAUACUUGGGUGAAGUAAAUUGAAGAUUUAGGAAGAAAGUGCAUAUAAAUUGGGUUAGUCUCUUGAAUUUAAGUGGUAUACCUAAGUUUAAGGUGUCAGAUCGAGGAAAAGGUUCACUUCGUGGUGAUAACAAGGACUAACUGAGCAUGAUGGUGAAAAGAGUUCGUGAGGGGUUGUGAUUGAGAUGAAACUAUAUAAUAAGGAUUUGUUGGUUAAAUGAUUUUUGCAUGGUAAUAAAAACUUGUGAGCAUCUAAGGUUAUGAAUUUCUACUAUUUAGUGAAGUAACGUGAUUGUAUGGAACUUUUUAGAAGAUAUUGUGGCACCGCUCGUAUAGAACUUAAAGGAGCUAGAGUCAUAAUUAAAAUAAGAUAAAAUUUAUGGGAUGUGAAGCUUUCAGAAUUAGGUGAGAGCAAGGAUUAUUUUCUUUGUAUGCUUGGAUUAAAAAUGUAUCUUCGAAAGGAUUGCGAAUGAGGUUCAAGAGCGCGUGAUUUUUCCUAUUUUGUUUUGGUUAAAGAAAUAAUGUAACAGGUUAAUCAGAUUGGUUAAAAGUUAUUGGAUAAAUUUUAAGAGAGGAGUGUACAAGCGUUCAGCUUGAGUGGGAUGAUAAGCUUUGUGGUAGUGUUGAAUGUAGUAAUUAGUAGGGUUAGAUUUUUAGCGUAGGAUAUGGUAAGGUUGAUGAUAAGAUAAGAUACAGUAAUUCAUAAAAAUCUUCAAAGUAUAAGCAAAUAUAGAUAUAUAAGGGCAUUGUAUUACACAGUUGUACUUACAAUUCAAUUUUUUUUGUUAUAAGUCUUGAUUUAUGGUGAUAUAUUUUGUCAAGGUAUGAAUUAGUAAGAUGAGAAAUGAUUGAUUGCAUCGGUAUUGAGCAUGUGAAAGAAUUUAUGCAUGUCUUGGACCAUAAAGUUUGUUAUUUUGAUUGUUAAAGGAUCUAAAGAAGGGUUUACCCUCAAAGUUUUGAUUUAGGGUGUGAAGUAAAAUAUCAUGGGUUAUUGGUAAGACAUUGUCCGAUUCAUACGGAUAGGAAGAAACCGCUUUAUGCUUAAAAUGAGCAAUAGUCAUAAAAGGUCGUGUCAUCUUUCUUCCAUUUUUAGCAAUUGAGAUCACUAUGCAAGCUAGUGAAACAAGAGUUUAUAUAUUGAAGGGUCAAUAUAUUAGAAUUUUGCACCAUAGAAAGAAUUUGAGAAAAGUGAAGGAAUAAGACCUCUUGUAUAAACCCAUGGGGUGUAGUUGAUGGUUGUAUUGAUUUUUGCGUAUGAGUUUAGAUAUGACUGUGAGAGGUGAAGUAGUUCGAUAUAGACCUACUAGAACUUAUCAUCGACUUUUAUAAAGAUUGAGUUUUGAAUUGGAUUGAAAACAAUGAGGCAUGAAGAAUUUAGUAUUCUACAUGGGGUUAGAUUUCUCAAAUUUGGAUAGAAGACUUAAGAAUGAUGGAUAAGGUGUAAUAUAAUUCUACAUGGUUAUUAAGAAUUUAGAGUUGGAAUAAUACUACUCUGUUGAUGGGAUUACAUAGAAUAUUAUGAUGUGUUACAUAGAUAUUUAAUGGUGAAUAAAUGUUAUGAGCUAAUAGGGUACAUAAAAAUUUGAAUGACCAAGAAACUUUCUAAGUGUUGGCAUGAGGUAUGUGAUGGUUUAGAAGGUAGCUAAAGCAUGAUAUGUGGAAGUGGUGUGAGGUUGACUGGAGGUUUGAUUUAAUAGUUUAUCAUAAUGGAAAAGUACUAUCAAAUUUUAAAUAAUGUGUAGCCUUGCUUGGAACUCGUAAUUGUCAUGAAAUGCUUAAAUAGAAAGAGAAAUAGACAUAGUUUGAACAUAUAUUUUACAAGAGUACUUUGAUACUAAUGGUGGUUUUGGAGUAAGGUAGAUGAUCGGUGUGGUUAUGAUAUUUUGUUAAUACCAAAAGUGUCGACUUCAUUGGAUGUAUGGUUCAAUAAAGUAAGUAUGUGUGCAAUUAUAGUAGGGACUAAAUUGGUGAUUGUGGGUAGCUAGAAAAUCAAAGAAAUAAAGUCAAAUGAAUGAAGAUGUUUGAUAUGGAAACUAUCGAGAGAAAAUAUAUAUAUGUAUAUAUAUAUAUAUGUGAAGUUAUUCGACCUUGGUUAUAUACACUCUUACGUGAACAACUACUUCAUUUCGGGUGUGAUUUAGAGUAUGAUUCAUUUUCUAUGUCCACACAUGUUUUCACAUCUAUGGGUUGAUUUCUUGUGGUGAAUCGGAUGUAAAGAUCCUCUUGUGUCCUCUUGAUAGGGUUCCUUGGGCAAACUUGGUAUUUUAGUUAUGAUAGAAUUGUUAUUGUUUGGAAUACCUAAAGUAUAUCAGUAGUUCUAUACGUACAAACUUGCUUAUGAGAAUCUAUAUAAGAGCUUCUAUGAAGAGUUACAAUUGCCUAUGAGUAAUGUUAGAGGUUCUGCAUUUUGAAGUGUAUCCCUUGUUUGUGUUUACUUGAUAUUAUUCUUCCCUGGGUUAGAUAAUUUGAUUAUCCCUUGAUGAGUAAUCGAUGUCUAAAGCUAAUAUUUUUAUCACUUAAGUUUGUGAUGAGAUUGUGUCGUGAAAAGAAAAUCCUUAUAAGAUCUGUGAUGGUUUGUGCAUUAUGAGUGUGUGGUAGUUGGUUAAAGUCCACUUCUGGUUGUAGCCACUUUUUCUUCAAAAUUUUAUCGUGGUUAUGUUAGAUAAUAUCUGUCAUGAUGGUUGCGCCAAGAUCUAGUUGGUGAAUAUGUUUGUUGAAUAGUCUACUUGAGAAGAUUUUUGUGGUUAAAUGAGCUACAUACAAUAAAAGUUGUCGUAAGAGUAUUGACAUGGCCUAUUUGAGGCAUUGUAUGAGAGGAGGUGUAGACCUCCAGUUGAUUGGUUUGGUACUUUUAAUAUAAGAUCCGGGGUACUAACAUUUUGAAAGAAAUGUUGAGACAAUUACCCUUUCUUCCCUCACUUUUUUUGAUCGUUCGAGGACGAACGAUGGGUAAAUUGGUAUCUAAUGUAACGACCCAUUUAGUUGUUUUAAAUAUUAGAGAUUUUUAUUUCAUAAUAUACUAUUUCAAUAUAAUUUAAAUAGGUAUUUUGGACCAUUCAUAACUAUAAUUAUAGAAAUAAUGGGGUAGUUUUAAUAACUUAUUUAGUUGGUGGUUAAAGAAAAUAACAUUAAAAAUUAUUGUGGGUCACUUUACCAUUUCUUUUGUAACUAGUCAUAUAAUAAUUAGGGUAAAAAUAAUCUGUAAAAAGAAAAGAAAAAAAAAGAAGAAGAGAAGAAAGGAAAGCCGCACAUCGAAGGCAGCAACCUCAGAUAUUACAUAUUUGAUUGUUUGGGAAUAUUUUGAAGAUUUACGAAAAGGCAAAAUCUUGAGAGUCGUGACACAUGUUCAACAUUCAAAGGUAUGUUAAGACUUUUACACUUCUUUGAAGGACACUUUUCUAAUUAAAGAUUAAAAAUAGAAUAGACUAUGGGUAAGGGUGAAAGAUGAGGGUCUCGUACCAAUGAUGUGACGGGCAUUGGUACAAAUACCAGUGGUAUAAAUGAAAAUUUUAUUACUAUAGAGUGUGAAUUGUAAUCCGAGAAUGCCAAAACAUAUAGGCAUUAGCUGAAGUAAUAUUGACUUUAAUUCUUCAUGUGAUUGUGUUUCUUUAUUGAACUCGUAUAUUUGUGAUAAUUGAGGUGGUUAUGUAUUAUGUUGAUAUUUGAUUGAUUGAGAUGCACUAUCAUCCCAUUUAUUUGAAAUCAUAUAGUUCACAUGUAUUGACAUGAGAUUGAGUAUAAGAUGGGAACGUAGAGAUCGUCAGUGAUGGAGAUGGUGGAAUGUUAAGAUUAUAAUUUGGGCACGUGGAGAUCGUCCAUGUAAAAAUUAUUUGAUUUUAUGAUAGUGUGUUGGAUCAUCCUCACCGACAUGUUGAGAUCGUCUAUGUCGGUAUGUGGACCUCACGAGUCCCCCAUGAGUCAUGAACUAUCAAUGUAUUUUCGAGGAGUAUAAUGUAUAUAUGGUUGAAAGAGUAGUUGGCAUUGGACAUAUCAUUACAUAGUGUCACAUUGCAUUGCAUCUUAUUAACCUCAUUUAAAAUUGUUGAUUUCGUGUGUUUAUUGGUGGUUGUACAUUACUGGGUACACGUAAUUUUGUACUCAUACUAUACUUGUUGCACUCUAUGUGGUGCGAAUUCGGUUUCGAGUACGAGCACAUGUCGUGGAGCUUCUUGAGUUUGUGCUUGGAGUAUUUUGGAGUUGUGGUGAGUUGCUUGGUCGUUCCGUGCCCCCCCCACAUCUUUUAUUUAUUCUGUUUUUAGUGUUCAGACGGGACAUCCCUUAUGUUUGUAUUUCUCAUUUUAGUUUCAAACUUGCACUACAUUUAGUUCUUGUACAUAUGACACCAACUCUUUAGUAGUAUUUUAGUUUUUCGCAUUUCGUACUUAUGAAGAAUUAAGUGUUGGAGUUUUUUUAAUUUAUUUAUUUUAUUCGUUGUUCA